rnacentral:lncRNA from 1 species
GUGUGAACGCACAAGGAAAUAAAUGAUGGGAAGGGAGAGGAAAGGAGAAGGAGUGUAUGUAUUUUCAGCACGAAAUGAAACAGGUGCAAUCAUACCAGCACAAAUGCACUGGAUCCCAUCAGAACUCUGCAGUUAAGUGUACUUUGGCGAAAGUAGUACAAGGAUGGGUUACCUCUUGGGAAGUUCUCGUGUUGCACACAUUUUUUUUUAAGAUGGGUCGUUCGACGUUACGCGCCACUUGAACUAUGGUCCGCUAGUUUAUACACAAAUGUGAGUCAAGACGCAGGGGCCUUUUAAUUGAUAUUAGAACGAGAAGGAGAGGUGAAGUGUGAACGCACUAGGAAACAAAUGACGGGAGGUGGAUGAAAGGAGAAGGAGUGUAUGUAUUUGCAGUGCAAAAUGAAACAUGAGCGAUCGUACCAGCACUAAUGCAUCGGAUCUCAUCAGAACUCUGCAGUUAAGUGUGCUUGGGCGAGAGUAGUAUUCGAAUUGGUGACCUCCUGGGAAGUCCUAGUGCUGCACCAAUUUUUUUUUCGGAUGGGUCAUUCGACAUUAUGCGUGAAUGGAAUUAUGAACCGCUGGUUCACUCGCAAAGGUGAGUCACGGUGCCGGGGCAUUUUACUUUAUAUUAGAACUAGAAGGAGAGAUGCAGAGUGCACGCACAAGGAAACAAAUGACGGGAGGGGGGAUGGAACGAGAAAGAGUGUAUGUAUUUACAGCGUAGAAUAAAACAUGAGCGAUCAUACCUGCACUAAUGCAACGGAUUCUAUCAUAACUCUACAAGUAAAGGGUGCUUAGGCGAGAGUAGUACUAGGAUGGGUGACCUCCUGCGAAGUCCUUAUAUUUCUCCCAUUUUCUUGGGAAGUCCUCGUGUUGCACACAUUUUUUUGUAGAUGAUUCUUACGACGUUACGCGCGACUUUAAUUAUGGUCAAAAAGUUUAUUCGCAAAUGUGAGUCACGGCGCCGUGGUAUUUUACUUGAUAUUUGAACGAGAACGGAAGGUGCAAUGCGCACGCACAAGAAAACAAAUGACGGGACGAGAAAGAAAGGAGAAGGAAUGUAUGUAUUUGAAGCGCAAAAUUUAAUCGGUGCGAUCAUACCAGCACUAAUGCACCGGAUCCAAUUAGAACUCCGCAGUUAAGUGUGCUUGGGCGAGAGUAGUACUCGGAUUGGUGACCUAUUGGGAAGUUCUCGUGUUGCACCCAUUUUUUUUUUCGGAUGGGUCGCUCGACGUUACGCGCGAAUGGAAUUAUGAACCGCUGGUUCAUUCGCAAAGGUGAGUCACGGUGCUUGGGCAUUUUACUUGAUAUUAGAACGAGAAGGAGAGAUGAAGAGUGCACGCACAAGAAAACAAAUGACGGGAGGGGGGAUGGAAGGAGAAAGAGUAUAUGUAUUUGCAGCGCAGAAUGAAACAUGAGCGAUCAUACCAGAACUAAUGCAACGGAUUUUAUCAGAAUUCCGUAGUUAAGGGUACUUGGGCAAGAGUAGUACUAGGAUUGGUGACCUCCUGCGAAGUCCUUAUAUUUCACCCAUUUUAUUGGGUAGUCCUCGUAUUGCACCUAUUUUAUUGUAGAUGAUUCUUUCGAUGUUACGUGCGACUUGAAUUAUGGUAUGUAGGUUUAUUCGCAAAUAUGAGUCACGGUGCCGUUGCAUUUUACUUGAUAUUAGAACGAGAACGGGAGGUGCAGUGCGCACGCACAAGGAAACAAAUGACGGGAGGGGGAAGAAAGGAGAAGGAGUGUAUGUAUUUGCAGCGAGAAAUUAAACAGCUGCCAUCAUACCAGCACUAAUGUACCAAAUCCUUUCAGAACUCCGCAGUUAAGUGUGCUUGGGCGAGAGUAGUACUCGGAUGGUGACAUCCUGGGAAGUUCUCGUAUCGCACAAAUUUUUUUUUAGACUGGUCGUUCGAUGUUAUGCGCGACUGGAACUAUGGUCAGCUGGUUUAUACACAAAUUGGAGUCAAGAAGCAGGGGCAUUUUAAUCUAUAUUAGAACGAGGAGGAGAGGUGCAGUGUGAACGCACAUGGAAAAAAAUGAUGGGAGGGGGGAGGGAAGGAGAAUGAGUGUAUGUAUUUUCAGCACAAAACUAAACAGGUGCGAUCAUACCAGUACAAAUGCACCGGAUCCCAUCAGUACUCCGCAGUUAAGUGUGCUUUGGUGAAAGUAGUACAAGGAUGAGUUACCUCCUGGGAAGUUCUCGUGUUACACCCAUUUUUUUUUCAGAUGGGUCGUUCGACGUUAUGCGCGACUGGAACUAUGGUCCGCUGGUUUAUACGCAAAUGUGAGUCAAGACGCAGGGGCAUUUUUUCUAAUAUUAGAACGAGAAGGAUAAGUGAAGUGUGAACGCACCAGGAAACAAAUGACGGGAGGGAGAAGAAAGGAGAAUGAGUGUAUUUAUUUGCAGCGCGAAAUGAAACAGGUGCGAUCAUACCAGCACUAAUGCACCGGAUCCGAUCAGAACUCUGUAGUUAAGUGUGCUUGGGCGAGAGUAGUACACCUCCUGGGAAGUCCUCAUGUUGCACAAAUUUUUUCUCGGAUGGGUCGCUCGACAUUACGCGCGAAUGGAAUUAUGAACCGCUGGUUCAUUCGCAAAGGUGACUCACGGUGCUGGGGCAUUUUACUUGAUAUUAGAACGAGAAUGAGAGAUGCAGAGUGCAUGCACAAGGAAACAAAUAACGGGAGGGGGGACGGAAGGAGAAAGAGUGUAUGUAUUUACAGCGCAGAAUAAAGCUUGAGCGAUCGUACCAGCACUAAUGCAACGGAUUCUAUAAGAACUCCGCAAGUUAAGGGUGCUUGGGCGAGAGUAGUAUUAGGAUGGGUGACCUCCUGCGAAGUCCUUAUAUUUUACCUAUUUUUUUGGGAAGUCCUCGUGUUGCACUAUUUUUUUGCAGAUGAUUCUUUCGUCGUUACUCGCGACUUGAAUUAUGGUCCGCAGGUUUAUUCGCAAAUGUGAGUCACGGCACCGUGGCAUUUUACUUGAUAUUAGAUCAAGAAUGGGAGGAGCAGAGCGCACGCACAAGGAAACAAAUGACGGGGCAGGGAAGAAAGGAGAUGGAGUGUAUGUAUUUACAGCGCAAAAUUAAACAGGUGCGAUCAUACUAACACUAAUGCACCGGAUCCCAUCAGAAUUCCGCAGUUAAGUGUGUUUGGGUGAGAGUAGUACUUAGAUGGGUGACCUCCUGGGAAGUCCUCGUGUCGCACUAAUUUUUUUUUCAAACGGGUCGUUCGACGUUACGCGCGACUGGAACUAUGGUCCGCUGGUUUAUACGCAAAUGUGAGUCAAGAUGCAGGGGCAUUUUAAUCGAUAUUAGAACAAGAAGGAGAGGUGCAGUGUGAACGCAGAAGGAAACAAAUGAUGGGAGGGGGGAGGGAAAGAGAAAGAGUGUAUGUAUUUUCAGCAGGAAAUGAAACAGGUGCCAUCAUACCAGCACAAAUGCACCGGAUUCCAUCGGAACUCCGCAGUUAAGUGUGCUUUCGCGAGAGUUGUACUUGGAUGGGUGACCUCCUGGGAAGUCCUCGUGUCGCACCAAUAUUUUUUCAGACAGGUCGUUCGACGUUACGCGCGACUGGAGCUAUGGUCCGCUGGUUUAUACGCAAAUGUGAGUUAAGAAGCAGGGCAUUUUAAUCGAUAUUAGAACGAGAAGGAGAGGUGCAGUGUGAACGCACAAGGAAACAAAUGAUUGGAGGGGGGAGGGAAGGAGAAGGAGUGUAUGUAUUUUCAGCACGAAAUGAAACAGGUGCGAUAUCCGCAGUUAAGUGUGCCUUGGCGAAAGUAGUACAAGGAUGGGUUACCUCCUGGGAAGUUCUCGUGUUGCACCCAUUUUUUUUUCAGAUGGGUCAUUCGACGUUACGCGCGACUAGAACUAUGGUCCGCUGGUUUAUACGCAAAUGUCAGUCAAGACGCAGGGGCAUUUUUACUAAUAUUUAAACGAGAAGGAGAGGUGAAGCGUGAACGCACCAGGAAACAAAUGACGGGAGGGGGAAGAAAGGAGGAGUGUAUUUAUUUGCAGCGCGAAAUGAAACAGGUACGAUCAUACCAGCACUAAUGCUCUGGAUCCCAUCAGAACUCCGCAGUUAAGUGUGCUUGGGCAAGAGUAGUACUCGGAUGGGUGACCUCCUAGGGAGUCCUCGUGUUGCAUAAAUUUUUUUUUCGGAUGGGUCGUUCGACGUUACGCACGAAUGGAAUUAUGAACUGCUGGUUCAUUCGCAAAGGUGAGUCAAGAAGCAGGGGCAUUUUAAUCAAUAUUAGAACGAGAAGGAGAGGUGUAGUGUGAACGCACAAGGAAACAAAUGAUGGGAGGGGGGAGAGAAGGAGAAGGAGUGUAUGCAUUUUCAGCACGAAAUGAAACAGGUGCGAUUAUACCAGCACAAAUGCACCGGAUCCCGUUAGAACUCCGCAGUUAAGUGUGUUUUGGCGAAAGUAGUACAAGGAUGGGUUACCUCCUGGGAAGUUCUCGUGUUGCAUCCAUUUUUUUUCAGAUGGGUCGUUCGACUUUACACGCGACUGGAACUAUGGUCCGCUGGUUUAUACCCAAAUGUAAGUCAAGACGCAGGGGCAUUUUAAUUGAUAUUAGAAAGAGAACGGGAGGUGAAGUUUGAACGCACUUGGAAACAAAUGACGGGAGGGGGAAGAAAGAACAAGGAGUGUAUGUAUUUGCAGCGCACAAUUAAACAAGUGCGAUCAUACCAGCACUAAUGCACCGGAUCCCAUCAGAAUUUCGCAGUUAAGUGUGCUUGGGUGAGAGUAGUACUCGGAUGGGUGACCUCCUGGGAAGUCCUUGUGUCGCACCUAUUUUUUUUUCAGAUGGGUCGUUCGAAAUUACGCGUGACUGGAAUUAUGAACGGCUGCUCAUUGGCAAAGGAGAGUCACGGUGCCGGGGCAUUUUACUUGAUAUUAAAACGAGAAUGAGAGAUGCAGAGUGCACGCAGAAGGAAACAAAUGACGGGAGGGGGGAUGGAAGGAGAAAGAGAGUAUGUAUUUGCCGCGCAGAAUGAAACAUGAGCGAUCAUACCAGCACUAAUGCAACGGAAUCUAUCAGAACUCCGCAAGUUAAGGGUGCUUGGGCGAGAGUAGUACUAGGAUGGGUUACCUCCUGCGAAGUCCAUAUAUUUCACCCAUUUUCUUGGGAAGUUCUCGUGUUGCACCCAUUUUUUUGCAGAUGAUUCUUUCGAUAUUGCGCGCGACUUGAAUUAUGGUCCACAGGUUUAUUCGCAAAUGUGAGUCACAGCGCUGUGACAUUUUAGUUGAUAUUUGAACGAGAACGGGAGGUGCAGUGCGAACGAACAAGGAAACAAAUGAUGGGAGGGGGAAGAAAGGAAAAAGAGUGUAUGUAUUUGCAGCACAAAACUAAACAGGUGCGAUCAUACCAGUACAAAUGCACCGGAUCCCAUCAGUACUCCGCAGUUAAGUGUGCUUUGGUGAAAGUAGUACAAGGACGAGUUACCUCCUGGGAAGUUCUUGUGUUACACCCUUUUUUUUUUCAGAUGGGUCGUUCGACGUUACGCGCGACUGGAACUAUGGUCCGCUGGUUUAUACGCAAAUGUGAGUCAAGAUGCAGGGGCUUUUUUACUGAUAUUAGAACGAGAAGGAUAAGUGAUGUGUGAACGCACCAGGAAACAAAUGACAGGAGGGAGAAGAAAGGAGAAGGAGUGUAUUUAUUUGCAGUGCGAAAUGAAACAGGUGCAAUCAUACCAGCAAUAAUGCACCGGAUCCCAUCAGAACUCUAUAGUUAAGUGUGCUUGGGCGAGAGUAGUACACCUCCUGGGAAGUCCUCGUGUUGCACCAAUUUUUUCUCGGAUCACAUUAGAACUCCGUAGUUAAGUAUGCUUUAGCGAAAGUAGUAAAAGAAUGGGUUACCUCCUAGGAAGUUCUCGUGUUGCACCCAUU